GGUAAUGUUGUAAACUAUCAUAAGACAAUUUAAAGUCAGGAAAAUAUAAAAUUCAAGCCGAGUGUGACGCGGUACAACCAACGAUGCACAGGGCUUGCCUCGAACUGACGUGUCUAAAGUUUACAAGUAUACUCUCGUCGAAAUAUCAGCGCAUCUGGAAUAAAGAGAGAAAGAUGAUCACAGUAGAAAGAUUGAUACUAUAGAUGAAAAUCUGCUGACAAAGCCAUUCAUAACAUGCAGAAGAAGAAUAGUUCAAGUUUCACUUCUCAAAAGUCAGGGAGCAGUUCUCCAGACACCAUGGGAAGACUCAUGAAGGAGCUGGAUUCAGACCAUACAAAGCGUUCCAACAUUGGACACACUUACCUGACUUUAGAGAGGGCUUGGUACAUAUGCGGUGACUCCACCUCUUACACAC